AUUGAACGCUGGCGGCAGGCCUAACACAUGCAAGUAGAACGAGUGGCGGACGGGUGAGUAAUGUCUGGGAAACUGCCAGAUGGAGGGGGAUAAAUACUGGAAACGGUAGCUAAUACCGCAUACCAUCGGAUGUGCACAGAUGGGAUUAGCUAGUAGGUGGGGUAACGGCUCACCUAGGCGACGAUCCCUAGCUGGUCUGAGAGGAUGACCAGCCACACUGGAACGUAGACACGGUCCAGACUCCGACGGGAGGCAGCAGUGGGGAUGAUUGCACAAGGGGCGCAAGCCUGAUGCAGCCAUGCCGCGUGUAUGAAGAAGGCCUUCGGGUUGUAAAGUACUUUCAGCGAGGAGGCGUUACUCGCAGAAGAAGCACCGGCUAACUCCGUGCCAGCAGCCGCGGUAAUUC
rnacentral:rRNA from 1 species